CAAUAGCGUAUAUUAAAGUUGUUGCAGUUAAAAAGCUCGUAGUUGGAUUUCUGGUGGGAGCGAUCGGUCUGGCGCUUAGCGCGAGUACUUGCAUCGUCUCCGGCCAUCCUUGGGGAGAGUCUGUCUGGCAUUAAGUUGUCGGGCAGAGGAUCCUCAUCGUUUACUGUGAAAAAAUAGAGUGUUCAAAGCAGGCUUAUGCCGUUGAAUAUAUUAGCAUGGAAUAAUAAGAUAGGACUUUGGUACUAUUUUGUUGGUUUGCGCACCAAAGUAAUGAUUAAUAGGGACAGUUGGGGGUAUUCGUAUUCCGUUGUCAGAGGUGAAAUUCUUGGAUUUACGGAAGACGAACUACUGCGAAAGCAUUUACCAAGGAUGUUUUUAUUAA
rnacentral:rRNA from 1 species